rnacentral:rRNA from 1 species
UGGGGAAUAUUGCACAAUGGGCGCAAGCCUGAUGCAGCCAUGCCGCGUGUAUGAAGAAGGCCUUCGGGUUGUAAAGUACUUUCAGCGAGGAGGAAGGCGGUAAGGUUAAUAACCUUAUCGAUUGACGUUACUCGCAGAAGAAGCACCGGCUAACUCCGUGCCAGCAGCCGCGGUAAUACGGAGGGUGCAAGCGUUAAUCGGAAUUACUGGGCGUAAAGCGCACGCAGGCGGUCUGUCAAGUCGGAUGUGAAAUCCCCGGGCUCAACCUGGGAACUGCAUUCGAAACUGGCAGGCUAGAGUCUGGUAGAGGGGGGUAGAAUUCCAGGUGUAGCGGUGAAAUGCGUAGAGAUCUGGAGGAAUACCGGUGGCGAAGGCGGCCCCCUGGACAAAGACUGACGCUCAGGUGCGAAAGCGUGGGGAGCAAACA